AAAGCAGGGAUUGUGUGUAUCGGCGUAGUGCUAGAAUCAAUGCGCUCUGAUCCGAAAGAGUUCCCUGCAAUAUCGAAUCAAAUAGGGGAAGGUGGGCAGUUGUUGUUCAUCAACCUGUUGAACCUUCAACAAUCAUCUUCCCCAUAUUC